rnacentral:rRNA from 1 species
UUCAGAGGGGGACAACAGUUGGAAACGACUGCUAAUACCGCAUACGAUCCAAUCUCGGCAUCGAGGAUGGAUGAAAGGUGGCCUCUAUUUAUAAGCUGUCACUGAAGGAGGGGAUUGCGUCUGAUUAGCUAGUUGGAGGGGUAACGGCCCACCAAGGCGAUGAUCAGUAGCCGGUCUGAGAGGAUGAACGGCCACAUUGGGACUGAGACACGGCCCAG